GGGGAUGCCUGGUUUUGACAGCGUAAUAGUUGUAAAGCAAGCAUGCAGUGUGAGUCUUACACACUUUAAUCAAAAGGCAAAACUUUUAGUUGGCAACAGCUACUUCCGUGUCGCCGCUUAGUUUGAAGAAGUAAACUAACCCACGACCAUCCUGAAUGUGCUCAAGCUCUGAGGUGCAUUCAAUAGGAUGUCGGACAUCAGAGCAACCACCUCAGGCUACUCCUGCUAAUCAGAGGUGGACUAAGCAGGAAAAAUUCGGCAACCGAUGCUCAGAAUGAAGUGCCGUCUUAAUCAAGAUGAGCUAAGC
rnacentral:tmRNA from 1 species